rnacentral:rRNA from 1 species
GUAAAAAGUAGAAUAAUAGAUUUGAAAUAUUUAUUAUAUAGAUUUAAAGAGAUAAUCAUGGAGUAUAAUAAUUAAAUUUAAUAAAUUUAAUAUAACUAUUAAUAGAAUUAGGUUACUAAUAAAUUAAUAACAAUUAAUUUUAAAACCUAAAGGUAAACCUUUAUAUUAAUAAUGUUAUUUUUUAUUAUAUUUAUAAUAAGAAUAAUUAUUAAUAAUAAUAAACUAAGUGAACUGAAACAUCUAAGUAACUUAAGGAUAAGAAAUCAACAGAGAUAUUAUGAGUAUUGGUGAGAGAAAAUAAUAAAGGUCUAAUAAGUAUUAUGUGAAAAAAAUGUAAGAAAAUAGGAUAACAAAUUCUAAGACUAAAUACUAUUAAUAAGUAUAGUAAGUACCGUAAGGGAAAGUAUGAAAAUGAUUAUUUUAUAAGCAAUCAUGAAUAUAUUAUAUUAUAUUAAUGAUGUACCUUUUGUAUAAUGGGUCAGCAAGUAAUUAAUAUUAGUAAAACAAUAAGUUAUAAAUAAAUAGAAUAAUAUAUAUAUAUAUAAAAAUAUAUUAAAAUAUUUAAUUAAUAUUAAUUGACCCGAAAGCAAACGAUCUAACUAUGAUAAGAUGGAUAAACGAUCGAACAGGUUGAUGUUGCAAUAUCAUCUGAUUAAUUGUGGUUAGUAGUGAAAGACAAAUCUGGUUUGCAGAUAGCUGGUUUUCUAUGAAAUAUAUGUAAGUAUAGCCUUUAUAAAUAAUAAUUAUUAUAUAAUAUUAUAUUAAUAUUAUAUAAAGAAUGGUACAGCAAUUAAUAUAUAUUAGGGAACUAUUAAAGUUUUAUUAAUAAUAUUAAAUCUCGAAAUAUUUAAUUAUAUAUAAUAAAGAGUCAGAUUAUGUGCGAUAAGGUAAAUAAUCUAAAGGGAAACAGCCCAGAUUAAGAUAUAAAGUUCCUAAUAAAUAAUAAGUGAAAUAAAUAUUAAAAUAUUAUAAUAUAAUCAGUUAAUGGGUUUGACAAUAACCAUUUUUUAAUGAACAUGUAACAAUGCACUGAUUUAUAAUAAAUAAAAAAAAAUAAUAUUUAAAAUCAAAUAUAUAUAUAUUUGUUAAUAGAUAAUAUACGGAUCUUAAUAAUAAAAAUUAUUUAAUUCCUAAUAUGGAAUAUUAUAUUUUUAUAAUAAAAAUAUAAAUACUGAAUAUCUAAAUAUUAUUAUUACUUUUUUUUUAAUAAUAAUAAUAUGGUAAUAGAACAUUUAAUGAUAAUAUAUAUUAGUUAUUAAUUAAUAUAUGUAUUAAUUAAAUAGAGAAUGCUGACAUGAGUAACGAAAAAAAGGUAUAAACCUUUUCACCUAAAACAUAAGGUUUAACUAUAAAAGUACGGCCCCUAAUUAAAUUAAUAAGAAUAUAAAUAUAUUUAAGAUGGGAUAAUCUAUAUUAAUAAAAAUUUAUCUUAAAAUAUAUAUAUUAUUAAUAAUUAUAUUAAUAAUAUAUAUAAUUAUAUUAUAUAUUUUUUUUAUAUAAUAUAAACUAAUAAAGAUCAGGAAAUAAUUAAUGUAUACCGUAAUGUAGACCGACUCAGGUAUGUAAGUAGAGAAUAUGAAGGUGAAUUAGAUAAUUAAAGGGAAGGAACUCGGCAAAGAUAGCUCAUAAGUUAGUCAAUAAAGAGUAAUAAGAACAAAGUUGUACAACUGUUUACUAAAAACACCGCACUUUGCAGAAACGAUAAGUUUAAGUAUAAGGUGUGAACUCUGCUCCAUGCUUAAUAUAUAAAUAAAAUUAUUUAACGAUAAUUUUAUUAAAUUUAGGUAAAUAGCAGCCUUAUUAUGAGGGUUAUAAUGUAGCGAAAUUCCUUGGCCUAUAAUUGAGGUCCCGCAUGAAUGACGUAAUGAUACAACAACUGUCUCCCCUUUAAGCUAAGUGAAAUUGAAAUCGUAGUGAAGAUGCUAUGUACCUUCAGCAAGACGGAAAGACCCUAUGCAGCUUUACUGUAAUUAGAUAGAUCGAAUUAUUGUUUAUUAUAUUCAGCAUAUUAAGUAAUCCUAUUAUUAGGUAAUCGUUUAGAUAUUAAUGAGAUACUUAUUAUAAUAUAAUGAUAAUUCUAAUCUUAUAAAUAAUUAUUAUUAUUAUUAUUAAUAAUAAUAAUAUGCUUUCAAGCAUAGUGAUAAAACAUAUUUAUAUGAUAAUCACUUUACUUAAUAGAUAUAAUUCUUAAGUAAUAUAUAAUAUAUAUUUUAUAUAUAUUAUAUAUAAUAUAAGAGACAAUCUCUAAUUGGUAGUUUUGAUGGGGCGUCAUUAUCAGCAAAAGUAUCUGAAUAAGUCCAUAAAUAAAUAUAUAAAAUUAUUGAAUAAAAAAAAAAUAAUAUAUAUUAUAUAUAUUAAUUAUAAAUUGAAAUAUGUUUAUAUAAAUUUAUAUUUAUUGAAUAUAUUUUAGUAAUAGAUAAAAAUAUGUACAGUAAAAUUGUAAGGAAAACAAUAAUAACUUUCUCCUCUCUCGGUGGGGGUUCACACCUAUUUUUAAUAGGUGUGAACCCCUCUUCGGGGUUCCGGUUCCCUUUCGGGUCCCGGAACUUAAAUAAAAAUGGAAAGAAUUAAAUUAAUAUAAUGGUAUAACUGUGCGAUAAUUGUAACACAAACGAGUGAAACAAGUACGUAAGUAUGGCAUAAUGAACAAAUAACACUGAUUGUAAAGGUUAUUGAUAACGAAUAAAAGUUACGCUAGGGAUAACAGGGUAAUAUAGCGAAAGAGUAGAUAUUGUAAGCUAUGUUUGCCACCUCGAUGUCGACUCAACAUUUCCUCUUGGUUGUAAAAGCUAAGAAGGGUUUGACUGUUCGUCAAUUAAAAUGUUACGUGAGUUGGGUUAAAUACGAUGUGAAUCAGUAUGGUUCCUAUCUGCUGAAGGAAAUAUUAUCAAAUUAAAUCUCAUUAUUAGUACGCAAGGACCAUAAUGAAUCAACCCAUGGUGUAUCUAUUGAUAAUAAUAUAAUAUAUUUAAUAAAAAUAAUACUUUAUUAAUAUAUUAUCUAUAUUAGUUUAUAUUUUAAUUAUAUAUUAUCAUAGUAGAUAAGCUAAGUUGAUAAUAAAUAAAUAUUGAAUACAUAUUAAAUAUGAAGUUGUUUUAAUAAGAUAAUUAAUCUGAUAAUUUUAUACUAAAAUUAAUAAUUAUAGGUUUUAUAUAUUAUUUAUAAAUAAAUAUAUUAUAAUAAUAAUAAUUAUUAUUAUUAAUAAAAAAUAUUAAUUAUAAUAUUAAUAAAAUACUAAUUUAUCAGUUAUCUAUAUAAUAUCUAAUCUAUUAUUCUAUAUACU